rnacentral:rRNA from 1 species
UAAAACGUAGGAGGCGAGCGUUAUCCGGAGUUACUGGGCGUAAAGCGUAUGUAGGCGGUUUUACAAGUUGCGUGUGAAAGCGCCCGGCUAAACUGGGCGAGGCCACGUAAGACUGUAGGACUAGAGGGUGGUAGAGGGGCGUGGAAUUCCGGGUGUAGCGGUGAAAUGUGUAGAGAUCCGGAGGAACACCAGUGGUGCAGACGGCGCCCUGGGCCACUACUGACGCUGAGAUACGAAAGCGUGGGGAGCGAACGGGAUUAGAGACCCCGGUAGUCCACGCCGUAAACGAUGCUUGCUAGGUGUUCACUCGCAAGAGGGAGUGCCGAAGCUAACGCGCUAAGCAAGCCGCCUGGGGAGUACGGUCGCAAGGCUA